GAACGCACCUUGCGCCCUUUGGCUAUUCCGAAGGGCAUGCCUGUUUGAGUAUCAUGAACAUCUCAACUCCUCACGGUUCACCUGUGAGGAGCUUGGACUUUGGGGGUCUUGCUGGCCUGUGGGUCGGCUCCUCUCAAACGAAUCAGCUUGCCGGUGUUUGGUGGCGUCCCAGGUGUGAUAACUAUCUACGCUUGUGGUUUUCUGCCAGGUAACCUCCAGCAAUGGGGGUUCACUGGAGCUCACAAACGUCUCUCCUCGGUGAGGACAGCUCUUUGAACAUUUGAUCUCAAAUCAGGUAGGACUACCCGCUGAACUUA
rnacentral:misc_RNA from 1 species